rnacentral:rRNA from 1 species
CCUACGGGAGGCAGCAGUGGGGAAUAUUGGACAAUGGGCGAAAGCCUGAUCCAGCAAUGCCGCGUGAGUGAUGAAGGCCUUAGGGUUGUAAAGCUCUUUUACCAGGGAUGAUAAUGACAGUACCUGGAGAAUAAGCUCCGGCUAACUCCGUGCCAGCAGCCGCGGUAAUACGGAGGGAGCUAGCGUUGUUCGGAAUUACUGGGCGUAAAGCGUACGUAGGCGGUUAUUCAAGUCAGAGGUGAAAGCCCGGGGCUCAACCCCGGAACUGCCUUUGAAACUAGAUAGCUAGAAUCUUGGAGAGGUUAGUGGAAUUCCGAGUGUAGAGGUGAAAUUCGUAGAUAUUCGGAAGAACACCAGUGGCGAAGGCGACUAACUGGACAAGUAUUGACGCUGAGGUACGAAAGCGUGGGGAGCAAACAGGAUUAGAUACCCUGGUAGUCCACGCCGUAAACGAUGAUAACUAGUUGUUCGGGCACUUGGUGCCUGAGUGACGCAGCUAACGCAUUAAGUUAUCCGCCUGGGGAGUACGGUGCAGAUAAAACUUAAGGAAUUGACGG